AGAAAAACAGGGCUCGAACCUGC
rnacentral:tRNA from 1 species